rnacentral:rRNA from 1 species
UACGAGAGGCCCAAACGUUAUUCGGAAUUACUGGGCUUAAAGAGUUCGUAGGCGGCGCAGAAAGUAGGGUGUGAAAGCCCUCGGCUCAACCGAGGAAUUGCGCUCUAAACUACUGUGCUUGAGGAAUCUAGAGGUGAGCGGAACUGAUGGUGGAGCGGUGAAAUGCGUUGAUAUCAUCAGGAACACCGGAGGCGAAGGCGGCUCACUGGGGAUUUUCUGACGCUGAGGAGCGAAAGCCAGGGGAGCGAACGGG